CGUAGGGUGCAAGCGUUAUCCGGAAUUAUUGGGCGUAAAGAGCUCGUAGGCGGUUUGUCGCGUCUGCUGUGGAAACUGGAGGCUCAACCUCCAGCCUGCAGUGGGUACGGGCAAACUAGAGUGCGGUAGGGGAGAUUGGAAUUCCUGGUGUAGCGGUGGAAUGCGCAGAUAUCAGGAGGAACACCGAUGGCGAAGGCAGAUCUCUGGGCCGUAACUGACGCUGAGGAGCGAAAGCAUGGGGAGCGAACAGGAUUAGAUACCCUGGUAGUCCAUGCCGUAAACGUUGGGCGCUAGAUGUGGGGACCAUUCCACGGUUUCCGUGUCGCAGCUAACGCAUUAAGCGCCCCGCCUGGGGAGUACGGCCGCAAGGCUA
rnacentral:rRNA from 1 species